rnacentral:sRNA from 1 species
CUUGGUCAUUUAGAGGAAGUAAAAGUCAUAACAAGGUUUCCGUGGGUGAACCUGCGGAAGGAUCAUUAAUAGUGCCCAUUGAUGCAAAUCAUUGGGUUAGAUCUGCCCUUAUCGCAAGAUGAGGGCUUCCAUAUACACCGUGAACUGUGGCUUCGGCCAUCACAAACUGUUAGUAAUGAAUGUAAUAUCAUAACAAAAACAAAACUUUUAACAACGGAUCUCUUGGCUCUCGCAUCGAUGAAGAACGCAGCGAAAUGCGAUAAGUAAUGUGAAUUGCAGAAUUCAGUGAAUCAUCGAAUCUUUGAACGCACCUUGCGCCCUUUGGUAUUCCGAAGGGCAUGCCUGUUUGAGUGUCAUGAAACCUCACCCCACUUAGGUUUUUGCCUAAGCGGUGGUGUAUUGGGUGUUUGCCUUGCUAAAGGCUCGCCUUAAAGAUAUAAGCACCUUGGAUGUAAUACGUUUCAUCCUUCUGGGUGGCUGAUAACCCCACAUAUUCAUGAUCUGGCCUCAAAUCAGGUAGGGCUACCCGCUGAACUUAAGCAUAUCAAUAAGCGGAGGAAAAGAAACUAACUAGGAUUCCCUUAGUAACGGCGAGUGAACCGGGAUGAGCUCAAAUUUAAAAUCUGGCGUCUUUCAGGCGUCCGAGUUGUAAUCUAUAGAGGCGUUUUCCGCGCCGGACCGCGUCCAAGUCUCUUGGAAUAGAGUAUCAAAGAGGGUGACAAUCCCGUACUUGACGCGACAACCGGUGCUCUGUGAUACGUUCUCAAUGAGUCGAGUUGUUUGGGAAU